UGCCCUAGUACGGCGAGUGAAGCGGCAACAGCUCAAAUUUGAAAGCUGGCCUUCGGGUCCGCAUUGUAAUUUGUAGAGGAUGCUUUGGGUGAAACGCCAGUCUAAGUUCCUUGGAACAGGACGUCAUAGAGGGUGAGAAUCCCGUAUGUGACUGGAAAUGUUAACCUAUGUAAAGCUCCUUCGACGAGUCGAGUUGUUUGGGAAUGCAGCUCUAAAUGGGAGGUAAAUUUCUUCUAAAGCUAAAUAUUGGCGAGAGACCGAUAGCGCACAAGUAGAGUGAUCGAAAGAUGAAAAGCACUUUGGAAAGAGAGUUAAAAAGCACGUGAAAUUGUUGAAAGGGAAGCGCUUGCAAUCAGACUUGUUUAAACUGUUCGGCCGGUCUUCUGACCGGUUUACUCAGUUUGGACAGGCCAGCAUCAGUUUCGGCGGCCGGAUAAAGGCUCUGGGAAUGUGGCCUUCACUUCGGUGAAGGUGUUAUAGCCCAGGGUGUAAUACGGCCAGCCGGGACUGAGGUCCGCGCUUCGGCUAGGAUGCUGGCGUAAUGGUUGUAAGCGACCCGUCUUGAAACACGGACCAA
rnacentral:rRNA from 1 species